rnacentral:rRNA from 1 species
AUGAACGCUGGCGGCGUGCCUCAUACAUGCCAGUCGAGCGAACAGACGAGGAGCUUGCUCCUCUGACGUUAGCGGCGGACGGGUGAGUAACACGUGGAUAACCUACCUAUAAGACUGGGAUAACUUCGGGAAACCGGAGCUAAUACCGGAUAAUAUAUUGAACCGCAUGGUUCAAUAGUGAAAGACGGUUUUGCUGUCACUUAUAGAUGGAUUCGCGCCGCAUUAGCUAGUUGGUAAGGUAACGGCUUACCAAGGCGACGAUGCGUAGCCGACCUGAGAGGGUGAUCGGCCACACUGGAACUGAGACACGGUCCAGACUCCUACGGGAGGCAGCAGUAGGGAAUCUUCCGCAAUGGGCGAAAGCCUGACGGAGCAACGCCGCGUGAGUGAUGAAGGUCUUCGGAUCGUAAAACUCUGUUAUUAGGGAAGAACAAAUGUGUAAGUAACUAUGCACGUCUUGACGGUACCUAAUCAGAAAGCCACGGCUAACUACGUG